rnacentral:lncRNA from 1 species
GCUCACAGCAGGAAAGAGGACUUUCAGGAUGCAGACAACCUUUAGCACCUCAGGAAUCACAGCAUGGUCCACUCCUGGCCAAGGGAAGAUGGACAACAGAGAAAGAUGGGCACUUUCUGGAGGCCUGAUGCCUCCAGAAGGAAAGAGAACCCACUCUGACAGCAUCUAGCUGCUGUGAUGGCUCACUUGCCAAAAACAAAAUAAAAGGCCUUUGUG